rnacentral:lncRNA from 1 species
GCUUGGAUCUUGGUUUGAUAAAUAUUAUUUUAGGGAUAUUUCUUCUACCUUUUUGAUGGACAUAAGAUGUUCAUAAAUGUUAAGGCAUUCUUUUUGGAAAAGAAGUUCCUUGGUGAAGGAACUAAUGCUAUUAAGAGCAAGCUUGGUGAAGCUUGAUAGAUAGAGGAACCGACUCUGACACAAACCAAUGACUCAGAGUUGAUUAGAUCAAAUUCGAAGCCUGAUGUAAAGGCAUCUCUGAAUAGAUACGGUAGAGUACCAUAU